CUCACUUCUCAGCCCUUUGACUGAGAUUGAGUGGAGUCACUGUUCUUGUGGUUUAGUAUCAGAUGCGCCCUGUAUCUAAGAAUGAUAAAGGGAGUGUAUUUAUUUUCAAAGGAAGGAAAUCGAGUAGCCUGUUAUGUUCACUCCACACGCUGGCUUGGUUUUUUAGUACCUCUAGGAACAAUAUACCCCAU